rnacentral:rRNA from 1 species
CCAGCACCCCGAGUGGUCGGGACGAUUAUUGGGCCUAAAGCAUCCGUAGCCGGUUUUACAAGUCCUCCGUUAAAUCCAACUGCUUAACAGAUGGGCCGCGGAGGAUACUAUAAGACUAGGAGGCAGGAGAGGCAAGCGGUACUCAGUGGGUAGGGGUAAAAUCCGUUGAUCCAUUGAAGACCACCAGUGGCGAAGGCGGCUUGCCAGAAUGCGCUCGACGGUGAGGGAUGAAAGCUGGGGGAGCAAACCGGAUUAGAUACCCGGGUAGUCCCAGCUGUAAACGAUGCAGACUCGGUGAUGGACCAGCUUCAUGCUAGUCCAGUGCCGCAGGGAAGCCGUUAAGUCUGCCGCCUGGGGUAGUACGGUCGCAAGACUG